UUUUAUGUGCUGGAGCAUGGCAUGAGAUCCACAUGGCCCAAAGAUUUCUCGAGACGAUCCUUCUCUACCGCCAUGCAUUUCAUUUCAUUUCUUUCUUUGUUUACUUUGUUUUUGGUUGGGGGAGACGAAGAAGAAAACAGAGAGAGAGAGAGAACAAAGGAAGAAUUCGGCAGAGAGGGAUAUUGCAGAAUAGAGUCGGGCAAGUACUGAACUGGACACCGAUUUGGGCGGAGGAGUUUAGCUUGCCUUAUAGUAUAUAACAAGCUAUUUGGGAGCCGAGGAGACCAGACUAUACACUCAGAAGGCUCGACUCGUUGAGUUAUCAUUUUGGAGGGUUUUUGUGAGUAUUUUUAUUCCACUAUAGAAUAAGGCUAAAUAUUAAAUUAAUUAUAUUAAUGCUGGUUUGAAUCAGAUAAGUCAAGGGAAGAGUGUAUGAGGAUCUUGAUAAUUUACUAUAAAUGAUUUUGGCUAAUUGUGGUGCGGUGA